GGGGAUCAUGGCUCAGUGGUAGAGCAUCUUCUUUGCAUGUGAAAAGUCCUAGGUUCAAUCCCCAGCAUUUCCA
rnacentral:tRNA from 1 species